ACCCAAUAGAUACCCGGGUAGUCCUGGCCCUAAACGAUGUCCACUAGGUUGUGGCACUUUAACGGUGUCAUGGCCGAAAGCAAAAAAGCAUUAAGUGGACCGCCUGGGAAGUACGGUCGCAAGGCUAAAACUCAAAGAAAUUGACGGGGGCUCACACAAGCGGUGGAGCAUGUGGUUCAAAUUCGAAGCAACGCGCAGAACCUUACCUGGGCUUGACAUGCCAGGAUUAUCCUUAUGAAGUAAGGUAGCCCGCAAGGGUACAACUGGCACAGGUGCUGCAUGGCUGUCGUCAGCUCGUGUCGUGAGAUGUCGGGUUAAGUCCCUUAACGAGCGAAACCUUUGCCCUUAGUUACUAACAGGUAAUGCUGAGGACUCUAAGGGGACUGCCGGUGUCAAA
rnacentral:rRNA from 1 species